rnacentral:sRNA from 1 species
AGGAGGUCACUAUUACGAGAGUGGAUUGACCCAGUUUUUGAAUCUAUCGUUUAGGGUUUCUGCCUUUCACUUGUUAGCCACCUGAUGAACCCUAGAGUUGCCCUUAUCAAUGAAUCCAUCCUUAGGACUUCUAUUCUUCUUAGAUUUAUUU